rnacentral:rRNA from 1 species
AGGGCACCACCAGGAGUGGAGCCUGCGGCUUAAUUUGACUCAACACGGGGAAACUUACCCGGCCUGGACACUGGAAGGAUUGACAGAUUGAGAGCUCUUUCUUGAUUCAGUGGGAGGUGGUGCAUGGCCGUUCUUAGUUGGUGGAGCGAUUUGUCUGGUUAAUUCCGAUAACGAACGAGACUCUAGCCUAUUAAAUAGGCUCUCGGCUUUUAAACGCCGGGAGGACUUCUUAGAGGGACAGGUGGCGGUUCAGCCGCACGAAAGAGAGCAAUAACAGGUCUGUGAUGCCCUUUGUUGUCCGGGGCCGCACGCGCGCUACACUGAAGAGAUCAGCGUGCUUUACGUUCCUGCUCCGGCCGGAGUGGGGAACCCAGUGAGCCUUCUUCGUGAUUGGGGUAGAAGAUUGUAAUUAUUCUUCUUGAACGAGGAAUUCCCAGUAAAUGCGAGUCAUAAGCUCGCGUUGAUUACGUCCCUGCCCUUUGUACACACCGCCCGUCGCUACUACCGAUUGAACGAUUU